rnacentral:rRNA from 1 species
AUUGAACGCUGGCGGCAGGCCUAACACAUGCAAGUCGAGCGGAUGAAGGGAGCUUGCUCCUGGAUUCAGCGGCGGACGGGUGAGUAAUGACUAGGAAUCUGCCUGGUCGUGGGGGAUAACGUCCGGAAACGGGCGCUAAUACCGCAUACGUCCUGAGGGAGAAAGUGGGGGAUCUUCGGACCACACGCUAUCAGAUGAGCCUAGGUCGGAUUAGCUAGUUGGUGGGGUAAAGGCCUACCAAGGCGACGAUCCGUAACUGGUCUGAGAGGAUGAUCAGUCACACUGGAACUGAGACACGGUCCAGACUCCUACGGGAGGCAGCAGUGGGGAAUAUUGGACAAUGGGCGAAAGCCUGAUCCAGCCAUGCCGCGUGUGUGAAGAAGGUCUUCGGAUUGUAAAGCACUUUAAGUUGGGAGGAAGGGCAGUAAGUUAAUACCUUGCUGUUUUGACGUUACCAACAGAAUAAGCACCGGCUAACUUCGUG